rnacentral:rRNA from 1 species
AGUAACGGCGAGUGAAGCGGCAACAGCUCAAAUUUGAAAUCUGGCCCUCGGGUCCGAGUUGUAAUUUGUAGAGGAUGCUUUUGGCGCGGUGCCUUCCGAGUUCCCUGGAACGGGACGCCUUAGAGGGUGAGAGCCCCGUACGGUUGGACACCAAGCCUCUGUAAAGCUCCUUCGACGAGUCGAGUAGUUUGGGAAUGCUGCUCUAAAUGGGAGGUAAAUUUCUUCUAAAGCUAAAUAUUGGCCAGAGACCGAUAGCGCACAAGUAGAGUGAUCGAAAGAUGAAAAGCACUUUGAAAAGAGGGUUAAACAGCACGUGAAAUUGUUGAAAGGGAAGCGUUUGCGACCAGACCUCGCCCCGGCGGAUCAUCCGGCGUUCUCGCCGGUGCACUUCGCCGGGCUGAGGCCAGCAUCGGUUUCCGCGGGGGGACAAAAGCGGGGGGAACGUAGCUCCCUCGGGAGUGUUAUAGCCCCCCGCACAAUACCCUCGCGGGGACCGAGGACCGCGCUUCGGCAAGGAUGCUGGCGUAAUGGUCGUCAACGACCCGUCUUGAAACACGGACCAAGGAGUCGAACAUUUGUGCGAGUGUUUGGGUGUCAAACCCUCACGCGUAAUGAAGGUGAACGUAGGUGAGAGCCCUCGCGGGCGCAUCAUCGACCGAUCCUGAUGUCUUCGGAUGGAUUUGAGUAAGAGCAUAACUGUUCGGACCCGAAAGAUGGUGAACUAUGCGUGGAUAGGGUGAAGCCAGAGGAAACUCUGGUGGAGGCUCGCAGCGGUUCUGACGUGCAAAUCGAUCGUCAAAUCUGCGCAUGGGGGCGAAAGACUUAUCGAACCAUCUAGUAGCUG